CAAGUCGAGCGAGAAAGGGCUUCGGCUCCGAGUAAAGCGGCGGACGGGUGCGUAACACGUGGAUAAUCUGCCUCGUGGCGGGGGACAACAGUCCGAAAGGACUGCUAAUACCGCAUGUCAGGUCGGAAACUCCGGUUUCUGACGAAAAAGAGGGCGCCCGCAAGGGGCUCUCACCACGAGAUGAGUCCGCGUCCCAUCAGCUAGUUGGCGGUGUAAUAGACCACCAAGGCUUAGACGGGUAGCUGGUCUGAGAGGAUGACCAGCCACACUGGGACUGAGACACGGCCCAGACUCCUACGGGAGGCAGCAGUGGGGAAUAUUGGACAAUGGGCGAAAGCCUGAUCCAGCCAUGCCGCGUGAGUGAUGAAGGCCUUCGGGUCGUAAAGCUCUGUGGGGAGGGACGAAAAAGCGUGACCUAAUACGUCUCGCCUUGACGGUACCUCCUUAGCAAGCACCGGCUAACUCCGUGCCAGCAGCCGCGGUAAUACGGAGGGUGCAAACGUUGCUCGGAAUUAUUGGGCGUAAAGCGC
rnacentral:rRNA from 1 species